rnacentral:lncRNA from 1 species
UUUCCCCCACGGGAUCCUCGCCUGAUACCCUCUCGCGAAGCAUCUGCAUAGCUACCCACGGCCUCCGCAGCCAUAUCUCGGACCCCGAUCUCGCCUUUGGUUUCCCAGGCCCCGCAUUCUCUGGCUAUGGUCGCCAGCAUGGAGUGGCCGGACGAUCGACCUCCGAUGGAUUCUGCCAAUACCAUCUCGGGAGGAUCCCGACAGGAAACGACCAACAUACCGGCUGUAUCCCCCAAGCGAC